AUUGAAUGCUGGCGGCAGGCCUAACACAUGCAAGUCGAACGAGUGGCGGACGGGUGAGUAAUGCCUGGGAAACUGCAUGAUGGAGGGGGAUAACUACGGGAAACGGUAGCUAAUACCGCCUACCAUCGGAUGUGCCCAGGUGGGAUUAGGUGGUUGGUGGGGUAACGGCUCACCAAGGCGACGCUCCCUAGCUGGUCUGAGAGGAUGACCAGCCACACUGGGACUGAGACACGGUCCAGACUCCUACGGGAGGCAGCAGUGGGGAAUAUUGCGCAAUGGGCGCAACCCUGAUGCAGCCAUGCCGCGUGAAUGAAGAAGGCCUUCGGGUUGUAAAGUACUUUCAGCAGGGAGGCGUUACCCGCAGAAGAAGCACCGGAUAACUCCGUGCCAGCAGCCGCGGUAAUAC
rnacentral:rRNA from 1 species